rnacentral:rRNA from 1 species
CCUACGGGUGGCAGCAGUGGGGAAUAUUGCACAAUGGGGGGAACCCUGAUGCAGCGACGCCGCGUGGGUGAAGGAGUAUUUCGGUAUGUAAAGCUCUAUCAGCAGGGAAGAACAAUGACGGUACCUGACUAAGAAGCACCGGCUAAAUAAGUGCCAGCAGCCGCGGUAAUACGUAGGGUGCAAGCGUUAUCCGGAUUUACUGGGUGUAAAGGGAGCGAAGGUGGCGCGUUAAGCCUGGUGUGAAAGCUCGCGGCUCAACCGUGGGAUUGCAUUUGAAACUGGCGGUCUGGAGUGCCGUAGGGGUAGGCGGAAUUCGUAGUGUAGCGGUGAAAUGCGUAGAUAUUAGGAGGAACACCAGUGGCGAAGGCGGCCUACUGGACGGUGACUGACGCUGAGGCUCGAAAGCGUGGGGAGCAAACAGGAUUAGAUACCCUGGUAGUC